AAGUCGUAACAAGGUUUCCGUAGGUGAACCUGCGGAAGGAUCAUUAACACGUAUCCAAACGUAAAAAACCCCCCCCGUGAACAUUCAAUCCUGCUCUUGUAACCCGCGUAGUUCGCAAUCUCUGGUAAAUCAUAGCCCGGAAAGUAGUUUUGAUUCAGAGACCUCUGGCUACGUGAGAACAUUGGAACAGUUACAAUCGAGCGGUAGUUUCAUAGGCAUUGUUUCCCCAAACAGUCAGUGUCUGAAAGUGUCACUGAUUGCCCUUAUAACCCCACAGUUUAAUGCGAAGCUCAAUGUAAUACAUUGGGUAAAAAAACCGAACAACUGUUAACAAUGGAUAUCUUGGUUCUC
rnacentral:misc_RNA from 1 species